rnacentral:rRNA from 1 species
UACGUAGGAUGCAAGCGUUAUCCGGAAUUAUUGGGCGUAAAGCGUACGUAGGCGGUUUACCAAGUCUGGAGUUAAAGACCGAGGCUCAACCUCGGGAGUGCUCUGGAAACUGGUAGGCUGGAGGACGGCAGAGGAAAGUGGAAUUCCCAGUGUAGCGGUGAAAUGCGUAGAUAUUGGGAGGAACACCGGUGGCGAAGGCGGCGACCUGGACCGGUACUGACGCUGAGACGCGAAAGCGUGGGGAGCAAACAGG